rnacentral:lncRNA from 1 species
GCAAGAGAAUCCUUAUGUCAGUUGUGUAUAAAAAUUUGAAUAUAAUUCAGCCUUUUCUUCGUGAGUAAAAGCAGGAGAAUUUUUUUUCUCAAAGGCAAGGAUUAAAGAAUGCAUAAACCCAGACAAAGAAUUUCACUGUACUUUAAUCUGAAAACAGCCCUGCUUAUACAAUGAUAUGUCCUUAUCCUCCUCCCCCAGAUUAAAUCCAGGAUUAUCAUGAAGUAUGACAUGUGCAUGUUAUGAAAUAGCAUUACUCUGUCUAACUUCUGUGUGUUGAUGUGUAAAAGAGAGAUUACCUUUCUCACUUCUUAUCCCAGCAGGUGACCUGUAUCAUCAGAACAGAACCAGCAGGGUUGUCUAUUCAAUAUGCCUGCAGUGGCCUGUAAAAAUCUCUGGAUUCAGUGCUUUAGUCUACAAAAAGCUUGCAGAAACAGAGCCCUGUGAUCUGUAUUGCUUUGAGGUGUCAAGAGUAUGAAAAAAGAAAAGGAAAGAAAAAGAAAAAGCAUAAGCUUCUGCAAUCAACAUUUGUUUGCAGUUGGAGAGGAUGCUGAGCAAGUGAUAAAGAAAGUAUCAACCUUGUUUCAAACACUUGAAAAAGGAUGGACUUAAUUCUUUCCCUGAGAACUAAAAAAAACAUAGUAACUAUAUACCAGUGGCUGUUUGAAGAUUUUCCACCAAGCAAAAC